CCUACGGGUGGCAGCAGUGGGGAAUAUUGCACAAUGGGGGAAACCCUGAUGCAGCGACGCCGCGUGAGUGAAGAAGUAUUUCGGUAUGUAAAGCUCUAUCAGCAGGGAAGCAGAAAGACGGUACCUGACUAAGUAGCCCCGGCUAACUACGUGCACGCAGCCGCGGUAAUACGUAGGGGGCAAGCGUUAUCCGGAUUUACUGGGUGUAAGGGGUGCGUAGGAGGGUGUGGAAGUCUGAAGGGAAAGCCCAGGGCUCAACCCUGGGACUGCGUUGGAAACUGUGGAGCUAGAGUGCUGGAGAGGUAAGUGGAAUUCCUAGUGUAGCGGGGAAAUGCGUAGAUAUUAGGAGGAACACCAGUGGCGAAGGCGGCUUACUGGACAGGAACUGACGUUGAGGCUCGAAAGCGUGGGGAGCAAACAGGAUUAGAUACCCCGGUAGUC
rnacentral:rRNA from 1 species